rnacentral:rRNA from 1 species
AGUGAACGCUGGCGGUAGGCCUAACACAUGCCAGUCGAACGGCAGCACAGUAAGAGCUUGCUCUUACGGGUGGCGAGUGGCGGACGGGUGAGGAAUACAUCGGAAUCUACUUUUUCGUGGGGGAUAACGUAGGGAAACUUACGCUAAUACCGCAUACGACCUACGGGUGAAAGCAGGGGAUCUUCGGACCUUGCGCGAUUGAAUGAGCCGAUGUCGGAUUAGCUAGUUGGCGGGGUAAAGGCCCACCAAGGCGACGAUCCGUAGCUGGUCUGAGAGGAUGAUCGGCCACACUGGAACUGGAACACGGUCCAGACUCCUACGGGAGGCAGCAGUGGGGAAUAUUGGACAAUGGGCGCAAGCCUGAUCCAGCCAUACCGCGUGGGUGAAGAAGGCCUUCGGGUUGUAAAGCCCUUUUGUUGGGAAAGAAAAGCAGCAGGUUAAUACCCCGCUGUUCUGACGGUACCCAAAGAAUAAGCACCGGCUAACUUCGUG